UGUGGGAGCUGGCUUGCCUGCGAUGCACACACCGCGGUGUAUCAGCUACACCAUGAUGAUGCUAUCGCAGGCAAGCCAGCUCCCACA
rnacentral:misc_RNA from 1 species